rnacentral:rRNA from 2 species
GGAUUCCCCUAGUAACUGCGAGUGAAGCGGGAUGAGCUCAAAUUUAAAAUCUGGCGGUCUCUGAUCGUCCGAGUUGUAGUCUGGAGAAGUGUUUUCCGCGCUGGACCGUGUACAAGUCUCUUGGAACAGAGCGUCAUAGAGGGUGAGAAUCCCGUCUCUGACACGGACUACCAGUGCUUUGUGAUGCGCUCUCAAAGAGUCGAGUUGUUUGGGAAUGCAGCUCAAAAUGGGUGGUAAAUUCCAUCUAAAGCUAAAUAUUGGCGAGAGACCGAUAGCGAACAAGUACCGUGAGGGAAAGAUGAAAAGCACUUUGGAAAGAGAGUUAAACAGUACGUGAAAUUGCUGAAAGGGAAACGCUUGAAGUCAGUCGCGUUGUUUGGAACUCAGCCUUUGCUUCCGCUUGGUGCACUUUCUGAACGACGGGCCAGCAUCGAUUUUGACCGCUGGAAAAGGGUCGGUGGCUUUAAAUGGCCUAUGAUCGUAUACAGCGGUUGGGAUCGAGGAACGCAGCGCGCCGCAAGGCAGGGGUUCGCCCACUUACGCGCUUAGGAUGCUGGCAUAAUGGCUUUAAGCGACCCGUCUUGAAACACGGACCAAGGAGUCUAACAUGCCUGCGAGUGUUUGGGUGGAAAACCCGAGCGCGUAAUGAAAGUGAAAG